rnacentral:rRNA from 1 species
GGCUCAGAUUGAACGCUGGCGGCAGGCCUAACACAUGCAAGUCGAGCGGUAACAUUUCUAGCUUGCUAGAAGAUGACGAGCGGCGGACGGGUGAGUAAUGCUUGGGAACAUGCCUUGAGGUGGGGGACAACAGUUGGAAACGACUGCUAAUACCGCAUAAUGUCUAACGGACCAAAGGGGGCUUCGGCUCUCGCCUUUAGAUUGGCCCAAGUGGGAUUAGCUAGUUGGUGAGGUAAUGGCUCACCAAGGCGACGAUCCCUAGCUGGUUUGAGAGGAUGAUCAGCCACACUGGGACUGAGACACGGCCCAGACUCCUACGGGAGGCAGCAGUGGGGAAUAUUGCACAAUGGGCGCAAGCCUGAUGCAGCCAUGCCGCGUGUGUGAAGAAGGCCUUCGGGUUGUAAAGCACUUUCAGUCAGGAGGAAAGGUUAGUAGUUAAUACCUGCUAGCUGUGACGUUACUGACAGAAGAAGCACCGGCUAACUCCGUGCCAGCAGCCGCGGUAAUACGGAGGGUGCGAGCGUUAAUCGGAAUUACUGGGCGUAAAGCGUACGCAGGCGGUUUGUUAAGCGAGAUGUGAAAGCCCCGGGCUCAACCUGGGAACUGCAUUUCGAACUGGCAAACUAGAGUGUGAUAGAGGGUGGUAGAAUUUC